rnacentral:rRNA from 1 species
AUUGAACGCUGGCGGCAUGCCUUACACAUGCAAGUCGAACGGCAGCACGGGUGCUUGCACCUGGUGGCGAGUGGCGAACGGGUGAGUAAUACAUCGGCACAUGUCCUGUAGUGGGGGAUAGCCCGGCGAAAGCCGGAUUAAUACCGCAUACGAUCUACGGCUGAAAGCGGGGGACCUUCGUGCCUCGCGCUAUCGGGUUGGCCGAUGGCUGAUUAGCUAGUUGGUGGGGUAAAGGCCUACCAAGGCGACGAUCAGUAGCUGGUCUGAGAGGACGACCAGCCACACUGGGACUGAGACACGGCCCAGACUCCUACGGGAGGCAGCAGUGGGGAAUUUUGGACAAUGGGCGAAAGCCUGAUCCAGCAAUGCCGCGUGUGUGAAGAAGGCCUUCGGGUUGUAAAGCACUUUUGUCCGGAAAGAAAUGCUUGGCCCUAAUACGGUCGGGGGAUGACGGUACCGGAAGAAUAAGCACCGGCUAACUACGUG